rnacentral:rRNA from 1 species
ACGUAGGGGACAAGCGUUGUCCGGAAUCACUGGGCGUAAAGGGCGCGUAGGCGGUUUUAUAAGUCAGAUGUGAAAGGUACCGGCUCAACCGGUGACGUGCAUUUGAAACUGUAAGACUUGAGUACUGGAGAGGCAAGUGGAAUUCCUAGUGUAGCGGUGAAAUGCGUAGAUAUUAGGAGGAACACCGGUGGCGAAGGCGGCUUGCUGGACAGAUACUGACGCUGAGGUGCGAAAGCGUGGGGAGCGAACAG